AUGCUGCUGUGGUCCUGAUGAGAGUUUGCCUGCUGGAUGCCUGAUGACACAGCAGUGAUGAACUCCCAGGCUCUCAGUCUGUGAUGCUGAAAAAUCCCUGUCUCUUCCUAUUUUGGGCACCCCCAGUUACUCUGCUGCUGCUGGGCUCUUUCUGUGUGAAGACCUUCAGGCCACAGAGUCCUCUGCCUGGAGGCUCCUGGCUGCAGCGUGAUGUGGGGAUGUUCUUCAAACGGCCUCAGUGGGGAGCAGCCAGAUGUCUAGCAGUGUCCCAGGGUCUGGGCACUCACCAAGCCAGAAUGCAACGAUCCCAGCAGUGUGACUACGCUGAGCUCCAUGGCCAUGAGAAGCUGGAGAUUUCCUUUUGAAAGGAAGUUUCUGAUCCUCCUGCUUGGAGUGAAGAAACCUUGCAAACAUGACCUCUGAAGGCAUGAAGUUAACCAAAAUCCAGUGAUGCCAUAAUGGAGAGAAAGGGGAGAGGGGAAUGGUGAGGUGGGAAGUCUGC